AAAAAAGAAUUCCAAUGGCUUCACCAAUUUGCGUCGGCCUUCAAUUGCCGUCGCUAAAGCCUCCUCUUUCGCCACGGCAAAACUUGAGGGGUCGCGAUUGUGCAAAAUAUUUGCGACGGUAACAACUGCCGUCGCCAUUGGGCGUCGCAAACCCAAUGAUUUACUUCGGCAAGAGUUAGUCGUGGUAAAAUAUUAACAGUUUGCGACUGUAAAGACAUUCAUGCCGUCGCGUUUCUUCAAUUCUUCCCGUGGCUUUUAUGUUUUUAUUUUCCCGUGCUUUCUAUUCCUUUAAGAUUAGCAUCUGAACUAAACGAUUUUACUUCUCUUUCUCUCUACUUUGCCGUCCUUCUUUGAGUCCAUCUCGAUUCGAUACCGAUGAGUGCUAUAGAUUUCCUCUCUCCAUCACCUCCUUCAACUAUUUUCCCCUCUCGAUCUGUCAUAUUCUCUGCGGAGUGCAUGCAGCCCCAUCCCCUCGUUCUUACUUUCCUCUUUUCCCUUUAUAUACCUUCCGAUCCCCUCCCUCCACUCCUCCACUUUCACAGCAGAUUGGUCAAACUCCAACCAACUUUCUACCAUUUUCAGAUCGCUUCGUUUUCUUCAUCGGAAUCCAUGGCGAAACAACCAGCUCGCGUCCUCGUUACCAGAGCCACAGGUACUGUAACGCAUCCAUAGCUUUCCUGGAUCAGAGUUUCAAAAGCCAUGUGAUUUUCCGGCCUAAGACAACCUCGAGGCUUUGUUGAUUCGAGGUUGGCUUAGGGUGGAGUGGCGGAUCUGUUGUAGCGUUCUCUGAGGACGACGGCAAAGGUUUGGAUCUACCAGGGAUCGAAGGCGUUCGAUGGGACAGGGGAGUGGGCCUGAGCCUAGAGCUUGGGUGCUCGCGGUAAGGUUCUUGUUUCUCAUCUCUUAUAUUUUUAAAGUUUCAAUCUUAAGGCUUGCAGGUUGCAGAUCUUGAAUUUUUUUUUUAUGGAAUUUUGUUUGUGUGGGUAAAUGGGAUAUCAGGAUAAUCAACGUGCUGGAAAACUGAUUGGAGAAGAUGAGACGAGAAUUUUAGUAUAUUUGGUUAUUGUUCAUUUUUGUUUUCGUUUAUGUAUUGGAAUGGUUUUUGUUUCAUUGGAUUCUCCUUUGUACACAGAUUGGAUUUUGAUGGCUGACAUUGGAUUCAAAUGUCUAAUAUGAUUAAGGUUUCACUUUUGUUUCAGAAACCCAUCAAGAUUGUUGAGCCAAUUGCUUCAUAUUUGAAUACGUUUUAAUUAUUGCUUGAUUAGUCGACAUGUUUCAUAAUGAUGAGGAAUCAUUUUUUUACUUUAAGAUUAGGAAAUGUAUGCACAUGUUUCACUCAUGUGCCAAUCUGUUUGGUCAUUACAAUAAAUUUGAUUAAUCUCUCUCUGCUCUGCUGCAUUUGUUUCUUUUUCGGUUUUCUUUUUGUAUGUGUUCAUUUGCCAACAAACAUCAAAAGGUCUUGGGGUAAAAGGAGCCAAGCUAUAAAAAAUCAUAACCAAUCUUAUGCUUGUGGAAACUUGAUACUUUGUCAAAGACGGAAAAGCAUCCUUGAACAUUAAGCAAUCUCAAGGCUGAGGUUUUGUUGCCAAAGCUGGAUUGGAGGAUCCUUUCUAGUUUAAUUACUGGAGAAUUUUGGUUAUGAUGGAAAGCAUUGGAGGAUCAUUUCUUAUAAUAAGCUUUUGUUUUCUAUUUAACAUAUCUAUAAUUGACCCUUUGAAUUUCUCUGUUUCCCGUCUUUCAAUCUCUAUUUUUUUUUUUUGUGUGUUUGUUUUGGUACCUAACCUUUUUGUAUAUGAAUUGCUAAAUUUGAUUAAGGCAGAUGGGCGAUGCAAGAUUAGCGCAAUGGUUGAAUCAAAUGCUGAAGGAAAUUCCUUUUUCUGGAAUUCUGAGCAACAGGCAAUCUAUGUGUACCCUAAAUCCAGGUUUGGAGUGUUGAUCAACAUUCUAAACCCUAAAUCCAGGUUUGGUUUGUUGAUCAACAUUUCAUCUAUAAAUAAGAAGUUAAUUUCCAUAACCUUUGUGAUGGCCAUUUUCUAUCUAUGUAUUUCAUAGAUGAAUACCUGAAGAAUGUCUUUCUAUAAUUACUUUUGACUUUAUUGUUUUUCAUGAAGUGUAAUGUUAAUAAUGAUAUGAUUUCAUUAUGUGUACCAAUGCUUUCAUUAACUAGACAGUUUUGUUUCUUGUGAAUGUUUGUUGUACUGAUCGAACACUUGUUCAAGGACAAUCAGUUCUCCAUCAAAAGCCGUCUGAAUUUCUCCAUAUCAGAGACUGUCUGCUGAUGUUCCUGUACAACUUCAUGAGAGGUUUCAAGGUGAGAGUAUCACUAGGUCCUCAGUUAUAGAGGAACCUGGAGACCAUGGAGAAGCACACUUAGUAGCUCUGGGUGAAUUAGAAUUCCGUAAACAAUUUCUAAUAUUAAGUGAUGCUGGAGGCUCAUGAUGAGAGUCAUGCACAAGAUGCGUCGUGGGGGUUGUCUAACAUAAGGGCUGUUGACGAAACUUAAAAUCAGGUUGACGGUCCAUCCGAAAACCCAGUCAAUAAGGACGAGAUCAGUGAGGUGCCAGAUUUAUAUCUUGGUGCAAGCAUUCAUCUCUCAAGAGAUCCUAAUAAUGUUAAGGAUCCCAAUGCCAUCCAGUGUAGGACCUAUUGCUAUAGAGAGAAGAAGAGUGGUGGAGAAGGAGAUAGACACAAAGAAGAACAUAGCUAUCAAUGAAUGAAUGAAGCAAAGAAGAAUACCAAUGCGGUUGAACUUAUGCGCUUGAAUUCUGAUUAUGUAGGUCAUGAUACUUAGCCUACUGAGCGUCAGCAUUAUGUAUUUUAAUUUUUGAAUGUUUUUGUAUUUUCAAGAUUGGUGAAGUUGUAUGAAAUGUAUAGAAAUAAUGUGAAAAAAACAUAUGAAAUUAUGAUUUAUAUGGCU